rnacentral:rRNA from 1 species
GAUUAACGCUAGCGGCAGGCCUAAUACAUGCAAGUUGUACGGGAUUAUUGGUAGCAAUACCGGUAUGAGAGUAGCGCACGGGUGCGUAACACGUAUGCAACCUACCUUUAACUGGGGAAUAGCUCACCGAAAGGUGAAUUAACACCGCAUAAAAUCACAGAAGGACAUCCCUCAAUGAUUAAAUCUCCGGAGGUUAAAGAUGGGCAUGCGUCCGAUUAGCUAGUUGGCGGGGU